rnacentral:rRNA from 1 species
CCUGGCUCCGGUUGAACGCUAGCUACAGGCUUAACACAUGCAAGUCGAGGGGCAUCAGGAAGAAAGCUUGCUUUCUUUGCUGGCGACCGGCGCACGGGUGAGUAACACGUACCCAACUUGCCCUUUACUCGGGGAUAGCCUUUCGAAAGAAAGAUUAAUACCCGAUAGCAUAAUGAUUCCGCAUGGUUUCAUUAUUAAAGGAUUCCGGUAAAGGAUGGGGAUGCGUUCCAUUAGGUUGUUGGUGAGGUAACGGCCCACCAAGCCUUCGAUGGAUAGGGGUUCUGAGAGGAAGGUCCCCCACAUUGGAACUGAGACACGGUCCAAACUCCUACGGGAGGCAGCAGUGAGGAAUAUUGGUCAAUGGGCGCUAGCCUGAACCAGCCAAGUAGCGUGAAGGAUGAAGGCUCUAUGGGUCGUAAACUUCUUUUAUAUAAGAAUAAAGUGCAGUAUGUAUACUGUUUUGUAUGUAUUAUAUGAAUAAGGAUCGGCUAACUCCGUGCCAGCAGCCGCGGUAAUACGGAGGAUCCGAGCGUUAUCCGGAUUUAUUGGGUUUAAAGGGAGCGUAGGUGGACUGGUAAGUCAGUUGUGAAAGUUUGCGGUUCAACCGUAAAAUUGCAGUUGAUACUGUCAGUCUUGAGUACAGUAGAGGUGGGCGGAAUUCGUGGUGUAGCGGUGAAAUGCUUAGAUAUCACGAAGAACUCCGAUUGCGAAGGCAGCUCACUGGACUGCAACUGACACUGAUGCUCGAAAGUGUGGGUAUCAAACAGGAUUAGAUACCCUGGUAGUCCACACAGUAAACGAUGAAUACUCGCUGUUUGCGAUAUACAGUAAGCGGCCAAGCGAAAGCAUUAAGUAUUCCACCUGGGGAGUACGCCGGCAACGGUGAAACUCAAAGGAAUUGACGGGGGCCCGCACAAGCGGAGGAACAUGUGGUUUAAUUCGAUGAUACGCGAGGAACCUUACCCGGGCUUAAAUUGCAGUGGAAUGAUGUGGAAACAUGUCAGUGAGCAAUCACCGCUGUGAAGGUGCUGCAUGGUUGUCGUCAGCUCGUGCCGUGAGGUGUCGGCUUAAGUGCCAUAACGAGCGCAACCCUUAUCUUCAGUUACUAACAGGUCAUGCUGAGGACUCUGGAGAGACUGCCGUCGUAAGAUGUGAGGAAGGUGGGGAUGACGUCAAAUCAGCACGGCCCUUACGUCCGGGGCUACACACGUGUUACAAUGGGGGGUACAGAAGGCAGCUAGCGGGUGACCGUAUGCUAAUCCCAAAAGCCUCUCUCAGUUCGGAUCGAAGUCUGCAACCCGACUUCGUGAAGCUGGAUUCGCUAGUAAUCGCGCAUCAGCCACGGCGCGGUGAAUACGUUCCCGGGCCUUGUACACACCGCCC